rnacentral:rRNA from 1 species
UACGGAGGGGGCUAGCGUUGUUCGGAAUUACUGGGCGUAAAGCGCACGUAGGCGGCUUUGUAAGUUAGAGGUGAAAGCCCGGAGCUCAACUCCGGAAUUGCCUUUAAGACUGCAUCGCUCGAAUCAUGGAGAGGUGAGUGGAAUUCCGAGUGUAGAGGUGAAAUUCGUAGAUAUUCGGAAGAACACCAGUGGCGAAGGCGACUCACUGGACAUGUAUUGACGCUGAGGUGCGAAAGCGUGGGGAGCAAACGGG